AUUCGAAUGGUUCUGCUAGGUUUAUUUGUACUGUUGACCCUUUUUCUUCUCAGCAUUCCAUUGAAGGAUUUUUACGGCCAAAGCUCGGUUCAAAAAGCACAGAGCAUGCUGGAUCAUCAUCCAUCCAUGCACUGUGGCAACCCGAAACUUCUCCUCAAUCACCGUUAAGUUCAAGUACAGUCCCGGUUGAAAUUCCCGUAAGUUUGGGGCACACUGACAUGAUGACGGAUCUCCCUGAAACACAGGGUUAUGAUGAAGAACUGCAGAUGAAUAUAGGACCAAACCCAGAACAAAAAAAAUGUGAACCUGCACGUUGCAGCAGUGAAGCUACUCAAAAGGUUGUCUUGUACUAUGAAGGACAACGUAUGGAUCAUAAAUCCA
rnacentral:sRNA from 1 species